rnacentral:rRNA from 1 species
UACGUAGGUGACAAGCGUUGUCCGGAUUUACUGGGCGUAAAGAGCGCGCAGGCGGUCGAUCAAGUCGAGUGUGAAAGCCCCCGGCUCAACUGGGGAGGGUCAUUCGAUACUGAUCGACUCGAAGGCAGGAGAGGGUAGUGGAAUUCCCGGUGUAGUGGUGAAAUGCGUAGAUAUCGUAAGGAAGACCAGUGGCUAAGGCGGCUCUCUGGGACGGUACUGACGCUGAGACGCGAAAGCGUGGGGAGCGAACAGG